GCCUUUUUUGGUGGGAGCCGGAUGAGAACCAGCGCUGGUUCGACGUAGCGAAGCGGAGAUGGGCCACUCGCAGAGUGGUCGCGCAGCGAUGCCGCAACGCGGCACCAAUCCGGCUCCCACCACCA
rnacentral:sRNA from 1 species